rnacentral:rRNA from 1 species
UACGGAGGGUGCAAGCGUUGUUCGGAAUUACUGGGCGUAAAGCGCGUGUAGGUGGCCUAUGAAGUCUGGUGUGAAAUCCCUCGGCUUAACCGAGGAAUUGCGCUGGAAACCAGUAGGCUAGAGUGCGAGAGGGGAUUGCGGAAUUCCUAGUGUAGAGGUGAAAUUCGUAGAUAUUAGGAGGAACACCGGAGGCGAAGGCGGCAAUCUAGAUCGCAACUGACACUAAGACGCGAAAGCGUGGGUAGCAAACAGG